CUGCUCGGGUCUCUAGUGGUUUAAGGAUAAUGUUUAUCAGAAGUGAACGUGCUCAACUUGUUUCCAUUCAACUGCUGAGUGUGGGCUGAAAUACCAAAGGUCAGAUCUACAGUGAGUCGGUAGAGGGCAGGGGGAGACGAGAGGAGUAUGAAAACAUAAUAUACAACAGACUGUUGAUCGCUUCUGACCUGCCUGGCAAAAAGAUUAUUUUCUUCAGGAACCAAUUGGGAAUUCCUAGGCAAUUUUCUCCGUUUCUGCCUCCGCUUCUACAACAUCUAGUACCAGUGCCACCUACAGGAAUAAUUGCAUUUUCGAGCUGCUUUCAAGUAACCAGAAUUCCGCAUUUGAGAGUCCUGGUAGCUCUGUCUAUCGUCCUCCUGGACGCACAGCAGCAAGACUGCUUCGAAAGGCGCUGUUUGUCUUCGUGGCUUUCGUCUGAGAUCACGGACUGAUGCAGGUUCGCUGCUCUGUACCCCGGCAGUGGGAGUGACGGAGCCCUUCCCGCGGAACCCGGGAGACGCAGCCGGCCAAGAUCAUAUUUGUCUCACUGCAAAGAUGCAAGCCUGAAAACCUUUCCACUGAUUCCUGGGGCAACAAUCCCUUCGAGUUGAUCACAGUGCAUGGAAAGAAGAAGUCCUCUCAGACAAGCUAGUGUGUUAAAGCCACCAAGGUGAUCUGCUGUGCCCAGCUGUGGGCAGAAGGCUGCCUUCCCUGCACUGCCAAGUCACAUCCAACUCCAUAUUGCAAGGUGCUGAGUAACAACUCACGAUCCCUAUCAAGUAAUGGCUCCAGGGUUUGUUUACCAACAUCCACUGGAGACUCCAGCUUUCUGUAGAAACAGAAACUGAGCCCAGGCUUAUCCAGGAAGCCCAAAAGUCCACAUGGGCACAUCCCUAGAGAAGACAGCCGCAGCUCAGCCUCCUGCUUUACCUCUUGGACUGCUGUGUCCCUCUGAGACAGACUCCAUUGAGAUCUCUGUGAAAUGAAUGAUGUGACUUAACAGUAUCAUACAAGCUGUUCCAAGAAUAUCAGCAAGGCAAUGGAAAAUGGCAGGAGGUCUGGAGACUUUCCUGAGAAGGUUUUACCCAGUGAUGGAAAAUAUAUUUGUGUUAUUACUUUAGCACAAGUGUCUUCUAUAAUGCUAAGGUUUGCUUUCAAAUAAAACAUAAAUUGCACAUCUGGUUGGAAGAAAUAAAUGCAAUAGUGCUUCAAAGACUAUCUGUCGGGCUUAAAAAGCAAAGAGAUGAGGAUUUAUUGGUGUUUUUAUUAUUAACAUAAAAGCCUUGGGAUCUCAAAAUAGACGAGGGUUAUAGGUAAAUAUGGGUUUUAUUUUCUUUUUUGUUCGCCUUAACAUAUUAUUAGCAUCAAGCUAAAAAAGGAUUAUCUGAAUGUUAGUAUGUUUACUGUGUGCACAUGGAUGUUAGCUUAAUCAAUACACAGAUGUAGAAGACUGUAGAGAAAAGUAUGCGCUACAAUCAUAUUCAUCAUCUUAAACAUUUCAGACAGCAUCUUCAUUCUGGAGAUAUUGUUGGCUUAAGAAACCCCAGUCGUGUACUUCCCCAGUCUUUCAAGACUUUUGUGAAGCAGCAGUGGGUGGCUUCUGUGCAAAGGCUUGGAAUGGACAUCUAUUUGCAAAUGAACAAGCAAUGAAGGAAGUGGGAGUUUCUAGAGUAGAUUACUUAUAAAAUUAAAAUUUGAGGAAGUUUGGGUAAAAAUAAAAUGUCCAAAUCAGCAAAUAUUUGGUGGCUUGAAGACAUACACAUUAGAUUUCCUGCCUGAGCUGCUGGUGACUUCAGCCUCCUUUCCAGAAGAAAAUUAUGCUAUGCAAUGUUGGUUAAAGCCUUGCAUGAGUCACUCCAAGGUGUUAGAGGGGGCUGUACAAAUCCUGGUCCCCGCUUUCUCCUAAAAAUUGUCUGCAAGAGGUUCAAUUUUGCCGUGUCAGGACUGGGUUGAAUCUUUCAUAGGAUUUAAAUUAAAUCCUUGGCAACUACUUUCUGAUUUUAUAGCAAAAUCUGAGCUAUGUGUUAAAGUGGGGACAUUGUUUUGCUGGGAUAUUGCUUAAUUACUAAAUGAAGAAAUAUUAAGUACAAAUUUAAUGACUCAUACAAUAUUUCCAAACGACAUGUACUAUAAAGUCCCAUUUACAUCUACCACACUGGUGUUUAAUUCACUUUCCAUUAUUCCUGAGGCUAUUAAUGUCAGUAAUUACAGCAGGUAACAUGUCUAAUAUUGAGUGUAUUGUGGAAUAAAGCAAUGUUGAGCUCCU